rnacentral:tRNA from 1 species
UGGCUGAGCGGUAAAGCACUUGGCUUACAAACUGGGGGUCCCAGGUUCAAAUCCUGG